AGGGGCUUUUGAUUUUAAGGAGUGCACUUCAUUGUGGCUCGACAUUUUCUACCAUUCACCCUAGUGCACUGUAAUACCCUUUUUAUUUAACCCCAACAAAUUAUUGGAUGGAACACUUUUUUUAUAAAGAAAUAAAACUUUUAACAACGGAUCUCUUGGCUCUCGCAACGAUGAAGAACGCAGCGAAAUGCGAUAAGUAAUGUGAAUUGCAGAAUUCAGUGAAUCAUCAAAUCUUUGAACGCACCUUGCGCCCUUUGGUAUUCCGAAGGGCACACCUGUUUGAGUGUCAUUAAUCUCUCAACCCUAUCCUUUUUUUACUAAAAUGGUAGUGGCUGGAUGUUGAGCGUUGCUGGACCUUUUUUGGUUCAGCUCGCUUUAAAAUUAUGAGCAGGCUCCUACCAUUUCGGACUGACUCAACGUGAUAAGAAAUUUCGUUGAGGACGCUUUACGGCGGCCGAAUUGUAGGGAAAUGCCGCUGCUAGUUGACCCUUAUAUUUUAAACCUCAAAUCAGGUGGGACUACCCGCUGAACUUAAGCAUAUCAAUAAGCGGAGGAAAGA
rnacentral:rRNA from 1 species